GCCGAGAUAGCUCAGUUGGGAGAGCAGCAGACUGAAGAGUACUUAAACACCAAUAUUUAAGCGCUUUCUGAAGGCCGGGUGUUCGAACCACCCUCUUGGCA
rfam:Phlebia centrifuga strain FBCC195 PHLCENscaffold_455, whole genome shotgun sequence.